CCCUACGGGGGGCAGCAGUGGGGAAUAUUGCACAAUGGGCGCAAGCCUGAUGCAGCCAUGCCGCGUGUAUGAAGAAGGCCUUCGGGUUGUAAAGUACUUUCAGCGGGGAGGAAGGUGUUGAGGUUAAUAACCUCAGCAAUUGACGUUACCCGCAGAAGAAGCACCGGCUAACUCCGUGCCAGCAGCCGCGGUAAUACGGAGGGUGCAAGCGUUAAUCGGAAUUACUGGGCGUAAAGCGCACGCAGGCGGUCUGUCAAGUCGGAUGUGAAAUCCCCGGGCUCAACCUGGGAACUGCAUUCGAAACUGGCAGGCUAGAGUCUUGUAGAGGGGGGUAGAAUUCCAGGUGUAGCGGUGGAAUGCGUAGAGAUCUGGAGGAAUACCGGUGGCGAAGGCGGCCCCCUGGACAAAGACUGACGCUCAGGUGCGAAAGCGUGGGGAGCAAACAGGAUUAGAUACCCCAGUAGUCC
rnacentral:rRNA from 1 species